GUUUGGAUAGCUCAGCUGAUAGACCAUGAGACUCCUAACCUAAGGGUCAUGGGUUCAAGCUCCAUGCUGGGCA